UUGUUUGACUGGUGACCAAGCGGGCCUUAUACGGCAAGCCCGGUUUCCAGGCCCCGUCUGCGCCAGAAAACAUGCAAAUUUACGCCGACAUAUCGUUCGGUUUUCUCCGAAAAUGCCUUCAAAAGGCUUCGGUGGGGUCCCCGAAAAAAUGCUCUAAAAGGCCCCAAAUCCGUUCGGAAUGCUCCGGGGCGCACUAAUUUUCCUUUCG
rnacentral:lncRNA from 1 species